CCUACGGGUGGCAGCAGUCGGGAAUAUUGCGCAAUGGAGGCAACUCUGACGCAGUGACGCCGCGUGCAGGAAGAAGGCUUUCUGAUUGUAAACUGCUUUAGACACGGGAGAAACCACACAUUACCUGUACUAUCUGCUCCGGCCAACUACGUGCCAGCAGCCUCGGUCAUACGUAGGAGGCAAGCGUUUACCGGAUUUAUUGGGUGUAAAGGGUGCGUAGACGGGAGGAUAAGUUAGAUGUGAAAUCCCUCGGCUUAACUGAGGAACUGCAACCGAAAUUAACUGUCUUGAGUGCUGGUGUGGAAGGUGGAAUUCCUGGUGUAGCGGUGAAAUGCGUAGAUAUUA
rnacentral:rRNA from 1 species